UUUGUAGUCCCUCCGUCCCAAAAUUCUUGUCUUAUUUGUCUAAAUACGGAUGUAUCUAGUUACAUUUUAGUGUUAGAUACAUCCGUAUCUAAACAAAUGUAAGACAAGAAUUUUGGGACGGAGGGAAUACUAC
rfam:Triticum aestivum genome assembly, contig: Triticum_aestivum_CS42_TGACv1_scaffold_221028_3B